GCAAGCUCUUCUUAAUGUCCUGACGCUUUUGAGCUGUUCUGGGCAUCCCUAUGUCUCCAGAGACGACGACGUGUUCCUAGAGGAGUGAAACUAAACCAAGGCAUUAGCAGCAUUGAAGGGGCCUCUCUGGAGUGUAAGCCUGGCCUGUGUGGCAGAUGACAAGUCUCUCCCCCUCGCUGAGGUGGUCCGAAGGAAAGCAGAGCAAUCCAGUUUGGCUGCCAGAGUUGCUGGAAGGAGGCAGACAACGCGCCGUCCAACUACCUUAGGGACCCCGCUCAGGAUUUGUAGAGAGUUUGCGCCUGAGCCCUGGGUACCUCUACACAGAAUACUUGAAUUUCACUGGAAUUAGUUCUCCUGGACACUGUGGUGCAACAGACACCCCCCCCCCAGCCAGGUGCUUAGCAACAGCUGACAUGGUGACGGAGGAGGAGCCCCCCCUUGCAACGGUUGACAUGGCAGCGGCUGAGGGAGCCUAGCAACGAGGCUGACGCACGGGGCGGCGCCUGGCAACGGUUGACGUGGCGAUGGAGGCCGGUGAUGUGAUGACUGAUGGCGGAAGGCAGCAAGGUCGCUGCGACCUCCCCGGCCCCUGCAGAAGGGACCUUGCGGGGCUUGGCGGACCCCCCCCCACUGCCCCCUCCCCGUGAUCUCGCCUUGCACUCCCCCCAGCCCCCCACCCCUUUCCCCCUAGCGCCGCUUUCAGACUGACUAACGUGCAAUAUUAGAUUCUUGUAAAUGGAGAUAUAUUUAUAAAUCUAUGGUGUGCAAAAUG